rnacentral:ncRNA from 1 species
UGAAAUGCCAUGACAGGGAAGAGUACAUGGACAUAUCCUUCAGAGAGGAAAACGGAUGGUGAGAGUUUUCCAGGAUCUAUGUUGGUGGAAGGUCGCCCUUGGAGCAGCUUCUUUGAACGAAAAGUAGAAGGAGCCGGUUAGAAGCCGUUAUUUUUUUAAGUGUACAGAUAUGCACAGCUUGUCUGUAAAUUAAGGUGGUACCACGGAAUUAGAUCUCUUUCGUCCUUUUG